GACGAACGCUGGCGGCGUGCUUAACACAUGCAAGUCGAACGGAAAGGCCCUGCUUUUGUGGGGUGCUCGAGUGGCGAACGGGUGAGUAACACGUGAGUAACCUGCCCUUGACUUUGGGAUAACUUCAGGAAACUGGGGCUAAUACCGGAUAGGAGCUCCUGCUGCAUGGUGGGGGUUGGAAAGUUUCGGCGGUUGGGGAUGGACUCGCGGCUUAUCAGCUUGUUGGUGGGGUAGUGGCUUACCAAGGCUUUGACGGGUAGCCGGCCUGAGAGGGUGGCCGGCGUCAGGGGGCCUAAGGGAGGACCCAGCUGCGAACGGGAGGAAAAGGGGGGAAGUUUGGCAGAGGGGCGGGAGGUUGGAGGCGACAGCCCCCGGAGCGGAAAACCGCCUUCUGGGUGAAAAACAGCUUUCGCCGGAAACGUGCUGGGCGUGACGGUAAGGAAUAAGAAAGCCCCGGCUAACUACGUG
rnacentral:rRNA from 1 species